rnacentral:tRNA from 1 species
GUCCUUGUAGUUUAAUGGAAGAACAGCUCACUCCUAACGAGCAAAUACAGGUCCGAUUCCUGUCGGGGACACCA